rnacentral:SRP_RNA from 11 species
UUAUCUGCGGGGGCCGAUGCCGAUUGCAGUUGCCGGGGCCGCGGUGCAGUCCACGACUGUCGAGAGCUUUGGUCCUUCCGAGCUUUUGGUGAAUGCCAGCUCCUCCGACGGAGGGACGAACCCG